rnacentral:misc_RNA from 1 species
UUAAAGGUCCAGUUAUUAAUG